GGGAUUUGCUGUUGGAAAAGUGUGGAUUGAUCUUUCUGGGAUUGUUCAUUUGGGACAGAGUGGAUCUCGUGCUUUGAGAGCCGCUUUCGAAUUCGGUUCCAAAUGAAGAUGUCAAUUUAGCUGAUUUGACAGAGGAACCUGUUCAUAGAUUUGGGGAAGCUAUCAGGUUUAGGACAAGACAACGGUGGAGAAGGCGUCAAGUUCAAAU
rnacentral:misc_RNA from 1 species